rnacentral:rRNA from 1 species
GUAGGUGGCAAGCGUUGUCCGGAAUUAUUGGGCGUAAAGCGCGCGCAGGCGGUUCUUUAAGUCUGAUGUGAAAGCCCACGGCUCAACCGUGGAGGGUCAUUGGAAACUGGAGAACUUGAGUACAGAAGAGGAAAGCGGAAUUCCACGUGUAGCGGUGAAAUGCGUAGAGAUGUGGAGGAACACCAGUGGCGAAGGCGGCUUUCUGGUCUGUAACUGACGCUGAGGCGCGAAAGCGUGGGGAGCAAACAGGGAUUAGAUACCCUGGUAGUCCACGCCGUAAACGAUGAGUGCUAAGUGUUAGGGGGUUUCCGGUCCCCCCUUAGUGCUGCAGCUAACGCAUUAAGCACUCCGCCCUGGGGAGUACGGCCGCAAGGCUG